GUUACAGUUGUCCUGUGGACAGAUUCUCCCACCUGAGCUGUGGAUUUCUGCAGCUUCUUCAGACUGACCAUGGGCCUCCUGGAAGCUUCUCUGACCAGGAUGACCAUGUCUUGGUACGCUGGAUUCUUCUGAUACUGACUUAAGAGUGUCCAGCAGGCUGACGAUCAACAUCUGGAGUUUCGCUCUGAAUCCUGACCUCCUCUUUGUGCUUCGGUGGCUUAUGAGGCCAUAAAUUGGUCACCGUGGCGACCAGCAGGAUUAUUGAAAGUCCCUCGUCUGACUUUGAGUGUUCACCAUCACUCUGCUCUGCAGCUGGUCUCCUUUUCCACUCUGCGGUCACUUGAUGUUGAAGAGGUGAGUGUGUUAGAGGAAAAGUUAAUGUCAGGUUUAGUCUGUAUGCACUCAGAGGUCAUUUGUACCUGCUGCUGCUGCUGCUGCUGUGGUUGUAAUGAUGUAAACCCUGAUUGGUUGGAUAGUUUGAGUGACAGCAGUUACUGAGGCAAAGCAGAACAGCUGCUGAUCCUGAGCUACUCUUACAAAUGGAAGAUCAGUGAAGAGCUUCCCUCACACAGCAUAUCCUCUAUUGCACAUGUGUCAAAGUCAAGGCCCGCGGGCCACAUCCA